AAUACUCGAAGUUUGAUUGUCUUGUGUAUUGUAUAUUAUAUUGACACACGUUAAGAAUGUCAAAGGAAACCAACGAACACGCAGGCGGUUGCUGCACUUAUAGAAAUGUGUAACUCGAGUGUUAUGUCGGUUUUAACCAUCGUUUUAGGAAGUACAUUUCUGGCGAAGUCAUAGAUCGGUGUACAGAAGGCUAACGCCAGUUCAAAAUAACACAUUCAGUUGCUUGAUGGACCAGGAAAUGCGAACCAGCAAUCGAUCACACCGAGAGUGACGCUAUGGUCCACGUGGAAUAGAUGGUGCUUCCCGGAUUUACAGAGAGUCGUAUGAUACUCUACUAUAG